rnacentral:rRNA from 1 species
UACGUAGGGUGCAAGCGUUAAUCGGAAUUACUGGGCGUAAAGGGUGCGCAGGCGGUUCUGCAAGUCAGGCGUGAAAGCCCCGGGCUUAACCUGGGAAUGGCGCUUGAAACUACAGGACUGGAGUAUGGCAGAGGGAGGUGGAAUUCCACGUGUAGCGGUGAAAUGCGUAGAGAUGUGGAGGAACACCGAUGGCGAAGGCAGCCUCCUGGGCCAAUACUGACGCUCAUGCACGAAAGCGUGGGGAGCAAACAGG